CAUCGAUCACGCGUCCCUUUGGCCAACUGUUCCGCGGCAAACAAUUGUCGACUACUAUCACUACAUCUCCCACCUGAAUCGGCCGCACCGACACAAACCACUUAGAUCGACGGGUCAGCGUGGGGAGGUAUUCCGAUACCCAUCUCCUCCAGAAUACGUCAGCGUUGCGUUGGGCGGCUCUCCACGCUGAUUUAGCGGCGAUACCACUGUCGUCAAAUACGGCGGGCGGCUUGCACCCGUUGGAGCUUCCGAGUAGUAGAUGGUUUGGUGUGAUCGGUGUGUCCAUCUCGUCGUCCAACGGCACGUAGACCGGACCAGUCUCUCCCAGCAUCCGCCGAAAUGUGGUGCGGCUGGCGGAUUAAAACUCCAUUUCAUCUCGGGCCCAACGAAUUCGUCCAUCAUCGCGUUAACAUCCACUGUCUGCAAGGCUUCCUCGAGCUCCCGAGCCGACCCGACGAAAUUGGUCCCCCUAUCGCUGAUGAUCUCUAUCGGUUUUCCGCGCCUAGCGAUGAAGCGCCGAAUCGCCAUAAUGCAGGACGCCGUUGUGAGGGAGUGAGCCAUCUCCAAAUGGAUAGCUCUGCACGUCAGACAGGAGCUCGUACCGUUUCAUCGUUGCAGCUUUGUUACAUGGCAAUCGGACGUCAUCAUAUCUCCAUAGUAAGCCCGUUUCGUAUCGAUCGCCCUGCAGUUUGGUUUCUCGGUUAAGUAUCAC